AGAGUUUGAUCAUGGCUCAGAUUGAACGCUGGCGGCAGGCCUAACACAUGCAAGUCGAACGGUAACAGGAUGUGCUUGCACAUCGCUGACCAGUGGCGGACGGGUGAGUAAUGCUUGGGAACUUGCCUUUGCGAGGGGGAUAACAGUUGGAAACGACUGCUAAUACCGCAUUAUGUCUUCGGACCAAACGGGGCUUCGGCUCCGGCGCAAAGAAAGGCCCAAGUGAGAUUAGCU
rnacentral:rRNA from 2 species